GAUGAACGCUAGCGAUAGGCCUAACACAUGCAAGUCGAGGGGCAUCACAUGAAGUAGCAAUACGGAUGGUGGCGACCGGCGCACGGGUGAGUAACACGUAUGCAACCUGCCUUCAACAAGGGGAUAACCCGUUGAAAGACGGACUAAUACCCUAUAACACAGGGGUCCCGCAUGGGAAUAUUUGUUAAAGGACAACCGGUUGAAGAUGGGCAUGCGUUCCAUUAGCUAGUUGGCGGGGUAACGGCCCACCAAGGCAACGAUGGAUAGGGGAACUGAGAGGUUUAUCCCCCACACUGGUACUGAGACACGGACCAGACUCCUACGGGAGGCAGCAGUGAGGAAUAUUGGUCAAUGGACGCAAGUCUGAACCAGCCACGUCGCGUGAAGGAAGACGGCCCUACGGGUUGUAAACUUCUUUUGCAAGGGAAUAAAGUGGGCCACGUGUGGCCUUUUGCAAGUACCUUGCGAAUAAGGAUCGGCUAACUCCGUGCCAGCAGCCGCGGUAAGUACGC
rnacentral:rRNA from 1 species